rnacentral:lncRNA from 1 species
ACUUGGAAUCUCAUGAAAUCACAAGCUAUGUAAAUAACUACAGUGUUCUUACUCCAGAGUGUUUAAACAAAAGUAAAUAUAGAAGGGCUAAUACUAUGUGAGAGAAUGGAAAAGGACUCCUCGAUCUGUGGACGCGGAAGACAUACCUUAAAGUCUUUGAUGGAUCACCCCGCCUCAAGGGUAGUAGGGCUGAGUCGAAGUACUUGGAUCUGCACCUGAAAAACAUAUGCAGAAAGGGCAUGAGUACACCAUGGGGGAGAAUGUAAGGCCCUGGAAAAUUUUGCUAAGCUAUAAGGGAUUUGGGGUGCCUGGUAGACUAAUUAUAAUAUUUUAUGUGCAUUAAAUAUGAUGUAAAUGAAUUGGAUAUAGUGAAUAAGUGUAUGAGUCAUAUAAUAACUAAUGUGAGGUCCAAGGGUAAGCCUAAGUCUAAGCCAAAUGAGAAAAGUUCACAAUAGGCUAAAAUUUCCAAUGAGUUUGCACUAGUACAUACUUUGAACGAUAAUAUCUAAAAAUGUAUAAGGUAUUAUAUGAUAAAUAACCUAUCAAAUAAAAUAUCUUCGAUUCUAGUUUCCAAUGCUUCAAACCGUUUUUCAUUUGGACAUUCCUACACAAAGUUAUGGUCAAAUUACUGAAGGCUAGAAAAAAUGCGACCCUGUGUAUAAUCUGCGAUAGCAGAAUCACAAUGCGAUCCACAUUUUUUAUCUGCCGUCGCAAAUCUGGUCAGUGUAGCCCAGUUUUGGGCAGUGAUUCUACGAUUCACUCUGUGGCUCGCAUGUUUGUUUUGCAGUCCAAUCUGCAAUGGCAGACCUUGUUACGGAGGAUUAUUUUUCCUAUUUUUAUAACCCGGCCUCAUUUUCAUAAAAAGGAUUAGGGGCUUCAUUUAGGGUCAUUUUCUACUGAUUUUUAGAGAUAGAUGAGAGCAUAUAGAGAGAGAAAGAAGGGGCUUAACUUCUUAAUCAUCCAGAUCUUUCUCAAGUCUUCAAGAAUCAAGGAACAUAACCAUAGAUUGUCUUCCAUCCGAGUAAGUUCUACUUCUAAAAUUUUCAUACAAUAAGUUAAGAGUUCAAAUAGGUUGUGAGGGUUAGAAAUAGGCCAUGCAUGUGGGACUAAGUUGUAGUAUGUGGAAUUUUCAACUAUUCUUGGGUAGUUUCUUCUUGAAAUUAGUUGAGGAAAGAAGGGGUUUCAAGUAUAGGACCUUGAAGUCUAUUUCACAUGUUAGGUGUUCGAUGAAAUCCCUAAGAGAGUUGCACCAUGGGGGUCUUUAUAACUAUUAAUAAAUUUUUGCCAUCUUCCUAUAGAUUAUUAUCGCUUGAAGUAUUGGGUCAUUGUUGUAACUUAAGGAAAGCUCAACAAGGUAUGUUGGCUAAACUAUCUCUCUUAGAAUCGAAUUCCAUCAAUGUUUUCGUAAGUUCAAGUAUGGCUGGCUCAAAAUUCCUAAUUUAUCCCCUAUAAAUUCAUACAUUCAUAGUUUUGUUAAGAUUUGGGUGAAGGAAGAAGAUUUGUCAUUUCUAAACCUUGAAGCCUACUUCACAUGUUAGGUGUUUGAUGAAAUUCCUAAUAGAGUUAUACCAUGGGUAAUCUUCCUAAUCAUUUAUCGAACUUUGCUAUCUCCUUGUAGUUUGUUAUUGUCACACCUUAUUUAACAUUACGCCCUUAGCGAAGAGCUUAGAUAAGGGAGUUUUCCAAUUAAAGGACAAUCGAAACAUGAUUUAUUUAUAUAGAUUUCAGAGUCGCGACUUGGGAUAAUAAAUGGUGUCCAAGUCACCAGUUUAAACCCCGAAUCGAAGAAGGCUUGACUUUGUAUACAGUCUGCGAGCCAGAAAUAUGGGUAAAUUAUUAUGUUAACCCGGGAGAAGGCGUUAGGCAUUCUCGAGUUCCGUGGUUCUAGCACGGUCGCUCAAUUAUUAUAUUUGGCUUAAUUAUCUGACUUUAAAAAAAAUUUGAACCUAUGUGUAUUUUUCAUUUUUAACCGCUUUUAUUUUAUUUUAAGAAGAUUGCAACAUUGUUAAAACGCAUCUUGAGCCACCUCACAUAACUGCACCCGCAAUUCUUGACAUAUUUCAACAUCGUUGGGAUUUGGAUUUGGGUCGCAUAAAUGCGCACCCGUAUUUUGGAAAGUGAAUUAUUUAACUAGCACACCUAAAAUGAAUACGCGUUUGCAAGUUUGCGAGGGCCAUGGAAUUUCAACUAAACGGCACACCCCGAAUUAUAAGGAUCAAUACAAUUAACUACUUACCUCACUAAAUAGUAAUAACGAUAACUACUGCUCAGGGAAUCAAAAGCUAAUAUACUGUAAUGAAUCUAUAUCGACGAGUGAAUCAAUUAAUCAACCACACUUCUAAGAAGAAAAUUGAACAUGCUACAAAAGAAAUGAAAUUCAUAGAGACCUAUCCAUGACUUGGUAAAAUAGAAUAGCCUUUGUACGUGGUCACACAUAAGAGAUUUCAAUUAAAGAAAGAUUCAAUAAUGAGGGCUAACAGUGCAGAAUCUGUUGCUAAAAUUUGCGCAAAUCUACUGCCUAUAUAGUGCAAAACAUGGCAGCUUUUCAGUUGGCUAUCAAUCAAACAAAUGUCCCAAGAUAUUGCACGUUGUCAAAGAAGCACAAAUAGAUUUUUAUUGACAUAUGAGUUUGGACAGUUUCAGACUCUAAACCAUUAGGAGUUGUCAAAUUCUUAGCCCUUCAAAUAAAAGAUUUCAGCAGAUUGAUUCUUAUAUCUAGUUCUACUCAUAUCAGUAACACUAAACUACCAGAAGGAAUGAAGCAUGAAGCAUUCAACACAAGAACUGGUAAACUAACUCAACUUAAAAGCAGAAAUGGAACUCAACAACUGAAUCACAAAGAAUCUAGCAUAAGUAAGAAAAACCUCUAAUAAAAUGAUUACUAUUAAUAUGUUUGAACAAAUUGAAUUGAAGUCAUUCUAAACACAAACAUUGACUAGCUGUGAGCUGAAUUUUCAAGCAGAAGCAUCAUGGCUAACACUGAAAGACAUUUUUGGCCAAUUACACAUUCCAAGUACAGCUUGAUGGUUUCCUGAACCAUUCACCAAGCCCUGAACCAUAGGGCUCAUGCAGAAUACAGCAGAAUGCAUAUAAAGGAUUGUAAUGGAUCCUCAAGUCAGUGACACACUCAACUCAUACACAACAAAUAGGGAGUAAGGCAAACAAUCAACAAAUACCCAGUUCCUGACUUAAUGUUCUCAUAAUUUCGAAUGCAAAACAGAAAUAAUGAAAAAUGACACGACUUGAGAGUAUACAGACAUCCCUUAGACAUGAGAGCAGCACAGGAACAUAGACCGGCAAAUCAGAACUGCAGCAUACUUUAACAUGAGCAUGGACUAUAUUCCAACAGUUGAAACCUUGAACAUUCAUGAAUAACCACAAAAUCUAUCUAUUCCUGAUUGUGUUAGGAAGAAAUGAAGCUGCAAUUAGUCUACCAAUAGCUCUCCCUUUGACAGCUGCAACUUAGACCAACUACAGCUUUAAAACAAGCAUUGAAUUGCUUAUCUCUCAAUAUUCAUAGCAGAUCGUGACAAACACCACUGACUAAACGACACAACAAAAAAAUAAUAGUUUGCUGAUUUCAUGAGCUUAUAUUGAAGCUAAAGAUGAGCCACAAAUCCUAUACUAAUCUAGGUACAGCAAAUUACAAUAAAUCAGCAGGUAAAGAGCUGACAAUGUUCAGCAAUGCAGCAACUAAAGCAGACAUCCAACCUCGAACAGGCUAUCAAAUUUCCAUAACAAAACCAUUCAAAUAGACCUUUAAACUCAAAAAAGUGACCCGAGAUAUUGACUUAAUGAAAACUCGACAUCAUGAUAGAAAUUAAAGCAAAAGCAGAGAGGACGACCCCUCAAACUCAGUAUUUACUGAUUGAACAUACUCAACUACAUCAUACCACUGCAAAGAGAUUCAGAAGCAAAAAAUUCGAUCACGACAGAAAACAGACCACUGUAAACUAACUCUCAUAGCUCAAAAUCACCAGAACAAAACAAAGUCACAUAGAAUAAAGGAGAGGAAAAUUGCACCUGAAUUUGCGAAUCUCUUUUAUAACAAUUAUAAACUUGACAAGACGACAGUAGAAAACCAAUCUCGAACUUCAAUUUUUAUUUCCUUGGAAGUCACAUUCAGAUUCAAAAAUAAAAUUUAUAUAUAUGUUUCUCUUAAACUUUGAAAAAACUCUUCAAAAAAAGAAAUUGAAUCAGAAAACCUGAAAUAAAAUCGAAGCCUCUCAACUUUUCUCAAAAUUUCUCCUCAAAAUUUAUGUUCUCAAAAUUUCUGUCCUCAAAUUUCUGUUCCCCUUCUCAAAAUCGGACCUGGCCCUAUUUGAAAAUGAAUCCUUUGAUGAACGUAUGGCUCAGAUUGAAUGAACUCAAUCUAAUGUCUCACACUCAUCCAGCGAAUCCACUCCAGAACAUUUCAAUUUGUGAGAUAUAUCAAAUUCGAGCGGCGAGAGAGGAUAAGAAUCUUGCGUCAGAAAUCCUAAGAACUGUAACAGGAGGAACUGGGGAACGUGUGGUUGAGGAUCUAAUCUUCUCUCGCCAGAACUUGGACUAGGUUGGGUUUUGUUCGAAUGGCGUUAGGAGAAGAGGAGCAGGGUUGCAUUGCUUGAGCUCAGGAGAUUAAGGUUCCUGAGCGUUUUGUGUUGUAAUUUGGUGCAGGUCGGGUCGGCGAGCGGGUCGG